rnacentral:rRNA from 1 species
CCUACGGGAGGCAGCAGUGAGGAAUAUUGGUCAAUGGUCGGAAGACUGAACCAGCCAUGCCGCGUGCAGGAAGACGGUCCUAUGGAUUGUAAACUGCUUUUAUUUGGGAAUAAACUCUGAUACGUGUAUCAGCCUGAAGGUACCAAAUGAAUAAGCACCGGCUAACUCCGUGCCAGCAGCCGCGGUAAU